rnacentral:rRNA from 1 species
UAGGGAAUCUUCCGCAAUGGACGCAAGUCUGACGGAGCAACGCCGCGUGAGUGAAGAAGGAUUUCGGUUCGUAAAACUCUGUUGUUAGAGAAGAACAGCGCAUAGAGUAACUGUUAUGCGUGUGACGGUAUCUAACCAGAAAGCCACGGCUAACUACGUGCCAGCAGCCGCGGUAAUACGUAGGUGGCAAGCGUUGUCCGGAUUUAUUGGGCGUAAAGCGAGCGCAGGCGGUCAAUUAAGUCUGAUGUGAAAGCCCCCGGCUCAACCGGGGAGGGUCAUUGGAAACUGGUUGACUUGAGUGCAGAAGAGGAGAGUGGAAUUCCAUGUGUAGCGGUGAAAUGCGUAGAUAUAUGGAGGAACACCAGUGGCGAAGGCGACUUUCUGGUCUGUAACUGACGCUGAUGUGCGAAAGCGUGGGGAUCAAACAGG